UACGGAGGGUGCGAGCGUUGUCCGGAAUCACUGGGCGUAAAGGGCGCGUAGGUGGCCGAGCAAGGUCGCGGUGAAAGCCCGGGGCUCAACCCCGGGUCGGCCGUGGCAACUACUGGGCUGGAGCACUGUAGGGGCGGGUGGAAUUCCGGGUGUAGCGGUGGAAUGCGUAGAGAUCCGGAAGAACACCGGUGGCGAAGGCGGCCCGCUGGGCAGUUGCUGACACUGAUGAGCGAAAGCCAGGGGAGCAAACGGG
rnacentral:rRNA from 1 species